UACGAAAAACAGCUCUGCUCCAAUCCAAGAGGUGGACAUAGAAAGGAAGACCCUGGAAAACAUGGGAAACUGAGUGUAAAUAGAGAGAUAAGACAGUGCUUAGGGAGAAGACUGAUGUUAUAAAUGCCAAGGGUCAUAUUUCUUGUUGAAACAAAUAAAUGAAGUCUUGCUGAAUGCUGGCGAACCUCACUGGGGCUAUGCCAAGGAAGACCGAGUCCUCUGAUAUAUGGAGAGCCAAUCCAGGGCACGGCAACAUAACAUCUCCAAGGCAAAAUGCAGCAGCAAGAUCUUCAGCCCUUGAGGAGUGCUCAUCUCCUCUCUGUGAAAUCCUCCUCAGAUUCAGCAGAAAUAUGUCAAAAAGAAACAUGGGAAGCAAGUACCAACCUCCCACCAGUUGCAGAAAAGUGAGAGCUGGACUUCAGCAUAGUUGAAUGGAAAGUGAAGUAAAUGGGCAAAAUCUCCCACACUAUAUCUAAUCCAAUUUUCUCAGAGAUGAGCUCAGAACAAAAUGGUGUUGUGGGGAAAUAUAGGUUGGUGUUGUUGAUAAAAACAUCAGUUUAACACUUAGAAAUACUCCUGUACCCACCCAGGAGAAAAGAUAAAGGCUUAAACCUUGCCCAUCCUUGUGACACUACAUAAAACCACAGUUUUGAAUCAUUCUGGCUCCCUUUCCUGUCCCAAAGUGGAUAUGUGGUGAUAAGAAUGGGAAUAGAAGAGGCCAAAGAGGAGACAUAGCAAAGCUGCAAAGUCGAGGAAUCAUAGAAUCAUUAAGGCUGGAAAAGACCUCUAAAAUCAUCAGGUCCAGCCCCAACCCACCCUCACCAUGUCCACUGACCACGUCCCUCAGUGCCACAUCUCCAUGGUUCUUGAGCACCUCCAGGGAUGGUGACUUCACCACUUCUCUGGGUGAUGUUCAAAUGGGACUUUCAAAAUUAGUUGAGACUUCUACUGUGCAUUCAUUGUCACGAGACACAGAGUGUUUGGAUUCUCUGUCUGGAAAGAAGUUGGAAAUGAACAAUUUCAAAUGUCUUCCCACAGAGAAACCUGGAUCCACUGGGCUCCUUGGGUGCAUUCAGGCCACGUGAAUAACUGAA
ensembl:lncRNA